UAAGCCCUGCUCAGAAGUCAAGAGCAGCAGCGCCGCCGCCUCCUCGCGGCCUUUCAAGACGCGGUCGCUCCUUAUUCUUGUGCCUCGGCCUCUCUGGUUGCCCCGGGACAAAGCCCCUGGAGCCCGGCCGCUCCCUUCCCGCUAAAUCCCCUUGGGGUCAAGGCGCUACCAGCACCCGGCCUCGCGCUUCUCCUGCCAGCAGUGUGGCUCUUAAAGACCGCAAACCUCCCCCCCAACCCCCCCACCCCCCCGCCACCUCGCCCUGCGCGCUCCCCCGACCCCCGCCUCCCCGCCCCUCUCCUAUGGAUCUAGCCCCCCACGCCGACGCCUCAGGUCCCUCCUGUCCCGAC
rfam:TPA: Bos taurus chromosome 11, whole genome shotgun sequence.